rnacentral:misc_RNA from 1 species
CGCAUCGAUGAAGAACGCAGCGAAAUGCGAUAAGUAAUGUGAAUUGCAGAAUUCAGUGAAUCAUCGAAUCUUUGAACGCACAUUGCGCCCGCCAGUAUUCUGGCGGGCAUGCCUGUUCGAGCGUCAUUUCGACCAUCAAGCCCCCGGGCUUGUGUUGGGGACCUGCGGCUGCCCGCAGGCCCUGAAAACCAGUGGCGGGCUCGCUGUCACACCGAGCGUAGUAGCAAUCACCUCGCUCCGGGCGUGCCGCGUGCUCCUGCCGUUAAACCACGCAACGACCAAAGGUUGACCUCGGAUCAGGUAGGAAGACCCGCUGAACUUAAGCAUAUCAAUAAGCGGAGGA